GGGGAAACUCACCAGGUCCAGACAAAAUAAGGAUUGGCAGGCUGAGAGCUCUUUCUUGAUCUUUUGGAUGGUGGUGCAUGGCCGUUCUUAGUUGGGGGAGUGAUUGUCUGUUAAUGCGAUAACGAACGAGACCUCGGCCCCUUAAAUACCCCGGUCCGCAUUUGCGGGCCCGCUGGCUUCUUUAGGGGGACUAUCGGCUCAAGCCGAUGGAAGUGCGCGGCAAUAACAGGUCUGUGAUGCCCUUAGAUGUUCUGGGCCGCACGCGCGCUACACUGACAGGGCCAGAGAGUACAUCACCAUGGCCGAGAGGUCUGGGUAAUCUUGUUAAACCCUGUCGUGCUGGGGAGAGAGCAUAACAAAUAUUGCUUUUCAACGAGGAAUGCCUAGUAGGCUCGAGUCAUCAGCUCGUGCCGAUUACGUCCCUGCCCUUUGUACACACCGCCCGUCGCUACUACCGAUUGAAUGGCUCGGUGAGGCCUCGGACUGGCUCAGGAGGGUUGGCAACGACCCCCCAGAGCCGGAAAGUGGUCAAACCCCGUCUUUUAGAGGAAG
rnacentral:rRNA from 1 species